CUCACAGCUGUUGAGAACAGAUUGGCUGUGUGUCACCACACUUUAAUAGACAGAUUAAACACUAAUACACACGAAAUACACGAAUGAAUAUCUGUGUAGUGCUCCUCACAGCAGAGCCAGCAAACAGAGAACAUUCAAAGCUCAAACUGCACACACACUUUUCAUAAAUGACCAUCCUCACGUGAGAUCUGGCCUCAGAUCCGAGGACUUACUGUAACAGCUCUGAACAGGAAGUGACCACACGUGAGUGAGACUGUAAUGAGCUGCAGUCUGAGACCGAGUCCAGACCAGAGCUGAUACAGAGAAGAACACGGCUCAGAUGAACACGUUUCCUCCGAUGCUCUUGAGAUGCUGGAGGAACAUCUGGAGGAAGGAUGGCCUGCCCUGGACCUUCGUGAAGACACCGGCAGAUGUCACCUGCUGCUGUUCUGAUGGAGGAAGUGAAAGCGAUGAGGUCAUUUCACGUUUCCCUUUUCACAAGCUGCUGUUGCGUGAAUAUGACCAGAGCGCAGAGCUUUCAUCCUUCUUAUUCACGUUUGAUUCUGCAAUCAUCUUUAAUAACACAGAUUUAUCUUCCACAUGCACUUCCCCUAAAUCUGGAUGAGAUCAUGUUGAAGAGGGUUAAAAUAAGAUCAAGCACGCACUGAUGCUGGGGUCGGUAUCACAUUUUUAGUCUCUUCUGCUCAGCACGGCUGCUUUUAUUUGAUCAAAAAUACAGUAAAACAGUGAAAUAUUAUUCUAAUGUAAAUCAUCUGUUUUCUGUGUGAAUCUGUGUUAAAGUGUAAUGUAUUUCUGUGAUGCUCCGCUGUAUUUUCAGCAUCAUUCCUCCAGUCUUCAGUGUCACAUGAUCUUCAGAAAUCAGAAUAAUAUGAUGAUUUACUGCUCAAGAAACAUUUCUGAUUAUUAUCAAUGUUGAACACAGUUGUGCUGCACAGUAUUUCUGUGGAAACCGUGAUAUAUUUUAUUUUUCAGGAUUCACAGAUGAACAGAAAGUUCAAAAGAACAGCAUUUAUUUAAAUCAGAAAUUUUCUAACAUAAUAAAUGUCUUUACUGUCACUUUUGAUCAAUUUAAUGCAUCCUUGAUGAAUACAACUAGUCAUUUAUUUGCUAAUAUAGCAAUUCUGUCUGCUCCAGGAAGGAAAUAAAUAUGCAAGAGAAGCUAAUCA